rnacentral:rRNA from 1 species
GAUGAACGCUGGCGGCGUGCCUAAUACAUGCAAGUCGAGCGAACGGACGAGAAGCUUGCUUCUCUGAUGUUAGCGGCGGACGGGUGAGUAACACGUGGAUAACCGACCUAUAAGACUGGGAUAACUUCGGGAAACCGGAACUAAUACCGGAUGAUAUUUUGAACCGCAUGGUUCAAAAGUGAGAGACGGUCUUGCUGUCACUUAUAGAUGGAUCCGCGCUGCAUUAGCUAGUUGGUAAUGUAACGGCUUACGAAGGCAACGAUGCAUAGCCGACCUCAGAGGGAGGACGGCCAGCCGAGCAGUGAGACAGGCUCCAGACACUUACGGGAGGCAGCAGUAGGGAAUCUUACGCAAUGGGGGAAAGCCUGACGGAGCAACGCCGCGGGAGUGAUGAAGGUGUUCGGAUCGUAAAACUCUGUUAUUAGGGAAGAACAUAUGUGUAAGUAACUGUGCACAUCUUGACGGUACCUAAUCAGAAAGCCACGGCUAACUACGUG